rnacentral:piRNA from 1 species
UGUGCUGGAGACACUACCCACCUGGUGGACUU